ensembl:lncRNA
GCGUUAAUGGCAUUAAUCUUUCCGUGGAGUUUUCCCUUCCGUUGUUGUUUAUUGAUUGUUAAACAUGCCUUCAUUUGCAAAGGUGGUUGUGUGUGUCCUCAUUGCUUGUGUCUGUAAUGCAUUCUGUUUUCCGAAGAGAGAUGUGAACUUUAAGGCCUCUGCAGUUGACCGCCAAAGUGAUGAUGUGGUUGUCACCACAACACCCGUUCCCCACAACCAGACCACAUCUGCCCAUACUGAAGCUGGUGGAGCAAGUGAAGAUGCUGUGGCUACUACCCCAGCACCUAAUCCAGACAACCAGACAACUUCUGCACAAGCUGAAGUUACUGAUGGAGCCAGUGAAGAUGCUCUGGACCGCCAAAGUGAUGAUGUGGUUGUCACCACAACACCCAAUCCCACAACCAGACCACAUCUGCCCAUACUGAAA